CACGUAGGGUGCGAGCGUUGUCCGGAAUUAUUGGGCGUAAAGAGCUCGUAGGCGGUGUGUCGCGUCGGCUGUGAAAACCCGGAGCUCAACUCCGGGCCUGCAGUCGAUACGGGCGGACUUGAGUGUUGCAGGGGAGACUGGAAUUCCUGGUGUAGCGGUGAAAUGCGCAGAUAUCAGGAGGAACACCGGUGGCGAAGGCGGGUCUCUGGGCAACUACUGACGCUGAGGAGCGAAAGCGUGGGGAGCGAACAGG
rnacentral:rRNA from 1 species